rnacentral:rRNA from 1 species
AUCAACGCUGGCGGCGUGCCUAACACAUGCAAGUCGAACGGGAAAGGGGCAACCCCGAGUACAGUGGCGGACGGGUGAGUAACACGUGAACAACCUGCCCUCGAGUGGGGAAUAACCUCGCGAAAGCGGGGCUAAUACCGCAUAACGUCCCUGGAACGCAUGCUUCGGGGAUCAAAGGCGAAAGUCGCUUGAGGAGGGGUUCGCGCCUGAUUAGCUAGUUGGUGAGGUAACGGCCCACCAAGGCGACGAUCAGUAGCCGGCCUGAGAGGGCGCACGGCCACACUGGAACUGAGACACGGUCCAGACUCCUACGGGAGGCAGCAGUGGGGAAUUUUGCGCAAUGGGCGAAAGCCUGACGCAGCAACGCCGCGUGGAGGAUGAAGGCCUUCGGGUCGUAAACUCCUGUCAGGGGGGACGAAACCGGGCAACCGGUUGACUGUACCCCCGGAGGAAGCCACGGCUAACUCCGUGCCAGCAGCCGCGGUAAUACGGAGGUGGCAAGCGUUGUUCGGAAUUACUGGGCGUAAAGGGCGCGUAGGCGGCUUGGCAAGUCAGAUGUGAAAGCCCCGGGCUCAACUCGG